rnacentral:rRNA from 1 species
UUCCGGUUGAUCCUGCCGGACCCCACUGCUAUCGAGGUGGGACUAAGCCAUGCUAGUUGAGCGCACAGAACUAUGUCUGUGAGCGGCACACUGCUCAGUAACACGUAGCUAACCUACCCUUAGGACGUGGACAACCCCGAGAAAUUGGGGCUAAUCCGCGAUAGAUGUAUUGUCCUGGAAUGGUAUUACGUCUAAAGGUAUCCCAUACAUGUUUGGUAUAUGCCUAAGGAUGGGGCUGCGGCCGAUCAGGCUGUUGGUGAGGUAAUGGCUCACCAAACCUUUGACCGGUACGGGCCAUGAGAGUGGUAGCCCGGAGAUGGACACUGAGACAAGGGUCCAGGCCCUACGGGGCGCAGCAGGCGCGAAACCUCCUCAAUGCACUUACGUGCGAAGGGGCUACCUCGAGUGCCAUCUGAUGAAGGUGGCUUUUCCUAGGUCUAAAAAGCCUUGGGAAUAAGAGGGGGGCAAGACUGGUGUCAGCCGCCGCGGUAACACCAGCCCCUCGAGUGGUGGGGAUGAUUAUUGGGCCUAAAGCGUCCGUAGCCUGCCGUGUAAGUUUCCCGUUAAAUCCAGCGUCUUAAGCGUUGGACCGCGGGAAAUACUGUACGGCUAGAGAGUGGGAGAGGUCAGCGGUAUUCUUGGGGUAGGGGCGAAAUCCUUUGAUCCCCGGAGGACCACCAGUGGCGAAGGCUGCUGUCUAGAACACGUCUGACGGUCAGGGACGAAAGCUGGGGUAGCGAACCGGAUUAGAUACCCGGGUAGUCCCAGCCGUAAACGAUGCAUGCUAGGUGUUGGGUUGGCCACGAGCCACCCCAGUGCCGCAGGGAAGCCGUUAAGCAUGCCGCCUGGGAAGUACGAUCGCAAGGUUGAAACUUAAAGGAAUUGGCGGGGGAGCACCACCAGCCGUGAAGCCUGCGGUUUAAUUGGAU